rnacentral:rRNA from 1 species
UACGGAGGGUGCAAGCGUUAUCCGGAUUCACUGGGUUUAAAGGGUGCGUAGGUGGGUUGGUAAGUCAGUGGUGAAAUCUCCAGGCUUAACUUGGAAACUGCCAUUGAUACUAUCAAUCUUGAAUACCGUGGAGGUCAGCGGAAUAUGUCAUGUAGCGGUGAAAUGCUUAGAUAUGACAUAGAACACCAAUUGCGAAGGCAGCUGGCUACACGAAUAUUGACACUGAUGCACGAAAGCGUGGAGAUCAAACAGG